CUCUGUGUGCAUCCAUGUACAGAUAGUGCUGCUCCUCGCUAACAGGGUGUCUGGCACUUUGCUUCCAGCCCAGAAUUAAUGACUCAGCUGGCCUGAAGAGCCAAGGGUGACCAGCCCCAUGCCAUGCAGGGGUGCAGAGCAGCCCAGGCGGGUUCCACCUGAGGAAAGGGUCCAGUGAGGUUGCUGCCGAGCACUCUCCAUAGUGUCAGGCUAGCAGUGUCCCUGUUCCUUCAGUGUAAGCCUGGAGCUUUCCUGGGCACUCUUGCCCCCUUCAAUAGGAAAUUUGGCGUCCUGAGCUAAGCAUCUUCUCUACUUGGGUGUCCCAAAUGGUUAACAAUCCCAGCAGCAAUGGAUGGGUGGUGAGGAGAUUGAUUGCCUCCUGCAAGCAGCUGACCCUACACGUGUUUAUCCAAGUGACUGGAGCUGUGCCAGUCUCUCUGAGUGCUGCUCGAGAUGGGCCAGCCUGGGGCCAUGCCUGCACAGUCCUGCCUUGAGAAGAGAAACUGAAACAAAGACUUCCCGGCCGGUUGUGUUUCCUGUAGCAUGAGGGACUCUAGAUUCCUGGAAGCCAUGGCAUCAGGGUUCUGCUGGACCUGGGUGCUUUCCUGGUAUUUCUUGCAGAUGUCCUGAUGGGAGUGGCUGCAGAAAGGCAGGAGGCAAGGAGGGGAUGGGGGCAGUGCUGCAGUCAGACAGGGACGUGCUGCUGGCUCAGGGUGACCCUGGGCAGCUACAUGCCAGAGAGCUGUGGGCUGACAGCAACCUGUGCUUUCAGAAAGCCACUGUUUUGUGACAAGUCUCAGUUGAGAAACACCUUAGUGCCUCUGUCGAAAGAGACCUGAUAGAUACACUUGGCUUUGUUGUUAUGCUGGUUCUUGGAUUUAAUCUAUGCUAGAGGAAAAAACAAUAACAAAAACGCCCAGGUAGGUGGAACAGUAAAGAGGCUUUUAGUGAACUGGUAGCCAAGCCUUGCCUUUGCUGACCCAGUCACUGUGCAGACCCAGUUCCACAGGUGUGGCACCACAGCCCCCAAGCUCACAGAGCCCCUCUUAGGGGUGUCCAUCUGCCACAGCUCUCCCCACUCUGUGCUGUCCCCAGGAGGGCUAUAGCCCUGAACAUUAAUGUGAGGCAGAUGAGCUGGGCUGUUACUGAGUGUUGCUCAUGUGAGGCUCUGUGGUUGCUUGGCAGUGAUGGCAACUUUGGAAACUCAUGCACUACGUUAUCUUCAGCCUGCUGUGGCAAGAAUGCCUCAUUUUGCUUCUGCUCAUAGCCAGCCCUGAUGUUGACUGGCUGCAGGGUCAGUACGUGAGCUCUGGAGCGGGACAGCCUGUAUCCGGAGCCUUCCUUCCUCUGUGAUAACGUCAGUGCUGGAAGCAGGCGGCUAUUUUGGUCCCAGGAAUGCCAGCGGAUGAUUUCACUUUUGUUUCGUACCCGAUAACCUUUCCCAUCACAAUGAGAGACGACGUCCGCGCUCGCUACGCUUCCGUGUGCGAGGGGAAAGCCAUUCAAGCGCCUCUGCAGGGGAAAAGAAAGAGCCAGGUUAAAAAUAGCUUCUGAUUGUCCAUGGAGCCUGGGCAAAGGAAGGGCAAAAGCCUUUCCUUGUUCCACUGCCCGGUCCCAUACACUGGGAGCAGCUUUUCUGGCCGAGCCGGGCCAUGGGGACAGCGACCGUGGGAAUAUCUGGUGUGCUGGCUCUGCGUCAGCCUCAUGGGGGUGGGAAGGUCUGUGAGAGACUUUCUUUUCUGUGCAGAGUUGUCCCAAUGUGGGGCUCCAGGAGUGCUACAGACAUCUGCUUUGCUUGUCACCUGCAUGUCUCUACCCCUCCUGCCCUUCUCCUAGUCCUUUCUCUACUGGG